rnacentral:tRNA from 1 species
AGUUAAUGAGCUUGAAUAAGCCUAUAUUUUGAAAAUAUAAAAUAGAAUUAUCAGCAUUCUAUUAACUU